rnacentral:sRNA from 1 species
ACGCCUUGCCUUGGAUUCAUUUUCAGG